AUACAGAGGGUGCAAGCGUUAAUCGGAUUUACUGGGCGUAAAGGGCGCGUAGGCGGUAAGAAGAGUGUGUUGUGAAAGCCCCGGGCUUAACCUGGGAAGUGCAAUGCAAACGUUCUAACUAGAGUAUAUGAGAGGGUGGCGGAAUUUCCGGUGUAGCGGUGAAAUGCGUAGAGAUCGGAAGGAACGUCAAUGGCGAAGGCAGCCACCUGGCAUAAUACUGACGCUGAGGCGCGAAAGCGUGGGGAGC
rnacentral:rRNA from 1 species